UACGUAGGGGGCCAGCGUUGUCCGGAAUCAUUGGGCGUAAAGCGCGCGCAGGUGGUUUCUUAAGUCUGAUGUGAAAGCCCACGGCUCAACCGUGGAGGGUCAUUGGAAACUGGGGAACUUGAGUGCAGGAGAGAAGAGUGGAAUUCCACGUGUAGCGGUGAAAUGCGCAGAUAUCAGGAGGAACACCAGCGGCGAAGGCGGCGCUCUGGGCCGGUGACUGACACUGAGGAGCGAAAGCGUGGGUAGCAAACAGG
rnacentral:rRNA from 1 species